CCCUGCUGGGGCUAAAGUGCUGACAGUGCAGAUAGUGGUCCUGUCCGUGCUACCGCACUGUGGGUACUUGCUGCUCCAGCAGGG
rnacentral:pre_miRNA from 14 species